ACUCAAAUGAAUUGACGGGGGCCCGCACAAGCGGUGGAGCAUGUGGAUUAAUUCGUCACUAACCGAAGAACCUUACCCAGGUUUGACAUCCUGUGCACCGGCAUGAAAGUGUCGUCUCCUUCGGGAGCGCAGAGACAGGUGUUGCAUGGCUGUCGUCAGCUCGUGUCGUGAGAUGUUGGGUUAAGUCCCGCAACGAGCGCAACCCUCACCGUAUGUUGCCAGCGUAAAGUCGGGAACUCUUACGGAACUGCCCGUGCAAACGGGAGGAAGGCGGGGAUGACGUCAAGUCGGCAUGGCCCUUACACCUGGGGCUUCACACAUGCUACAAUGGUGCCUACAAAGGGGAGCGACCCCGCGAGGGUGAGCGAAUCUCAAAAAAGGCAUCUCAGUUCGGAUUGCAGGCUGCAACUCGCCUGCAUGAAGCUGGAAUCGCUAGUAACCGCAGGUCAGCGAAACUGCGGUGAAUACGUUCCCGGGCCUUGUACACACCGCCCGU
rnacentral:rRNA from 1 species